GUGGGGAAUAUUGCGCAAUGGGCGAAAGCCUGACGCAGCAACGCCGUGUGGGUGAUGACGGUCUUCGGAUUGUAAAGCCCUGUUGAGGGGGACGAGCAAGGACGGUACCCCUCGAGGAAGCACCGGCUAACUCCGUGCCAGCAGCCGCGGUAAUACGGAGGGUGCAAACGUUGUUCGGAAUCAUUGGGCGUAAAGCGCACGCAGGCGGUUUAUCAGGUCGGAUGUGAAAUGCCGGGGCUCAACCCCGGAACUGCGUUCGAAACCGGUAAGCUGGAGUCACGGAGGGAGAAGGGGAAUUCCUGGUGUAGGGGUGAAAUCCGUAGAGAUCAGGAGGAACACCGGCGGCGAAAGCGCCUUCUUGGACGAUGACUGACGCUGAGGUGCGAAAGCGUGGGGAGCAAACAGGAUUAGAUACCCGUGUAGUCC
rnacentral:rRNA from 1 species